rnacentral:lncRNA from 10 species
CUCGGCAAACUAACACAGGACCAGAAAACCAAACACCACCUGUUCUCACUCAUAAGUGGGAGUUGAAUGAGAACACGUGGACACAGGGAGGGGACCAUCACACACCAGGGCCUGUCAAGCAGUAGGGGGCAAGGGGAGGGAGAGCAUUAAGACAAAUACCUAAUCCAUGUGGGGAUUAAAACCUAGAUGACGGGUUGAUAGGUGCAGCAAACCACCAUGGCACAUGUA